rnacentral:tRNA from 1 species
GCCCGGGUGGUGGAAUGGCAGACACGUGGGUCUUAGAAGCCCAUAUCGAAAGGUGUGCAGGUUCGAGUCCUGUCCCGGGCACCA